rnacentral:rRNA from 1 species
CCUACGGGAGGCAGCAGUGAGGAAUAUUGGUCAAUGGACGAGAGUCUGAACCAGCCAAGUAGCGUGAAGGAUGACUGCCCUCUGGGUUGUAAACUUCUUUUAUAUGGGAAUAAAAUGUUCCACGUGUGGGAUUUUGUAUGUACCAUAUGAAUAAGGAUCGGCUAACUCCGUGCCAGCAGCCGCGGUAAUACGGAGGAUCCGAGCGUUAUCCGGAUUUAUUGGGUUUAAAGGUAGCGUAGGUGGAUUGUUAAGUCAGUUGUGAAAGUUUGCGGCUCAACCGUAAAAUUGCAGUUGAUACUGGCAGUCUUGAGUACAGUAGGGGUGGGCGGAAUUCGUGGUGUAGCGGUGAAAUGCUUAGAUAGCACGAAGAACUCCGAUUGCGAAGGCAGUUCACUGGACUGCAACUGACACUGAGGCUCGAAAGUGUGGGUAUCAAACAGGAUUAGAUACCCGUGUAGUC